rnacentral:rRNA from 1 species
AAUAGAUACCCCGGUAGUCCACGCCGUAAACGAUGUCGACUUGGAGGUUGUGCCCUUGAGGCGUGGCUUCCGGAGCUAACGCGUUAAGUCGACCGCCUGGGGAGUACGGCCGCAAGGUUAAAACUCAAAUGAAUUGACGGGGGCCCGCACAAGCGGUGGAGCAUGUGGUUUAAUUCGAUGCAACGCGAAGAACCUUACCUACUCUUGACAUCCAGAGAACUUAGCAGAGAUGCUUUGGUGCCUUCGGGAACUCUGAGACAGGUGCUGCAUGGCUGUCGUCAGCUCGUGUUGUGAAAUGUUGGGUUAAGUCCCGCAACGAGCGCAACCCUUAUCCUUUGUUGCCAGCGGUUUAGGCCGGGAACUCAAAGGAGACUGCCAGUGAUAAACUGGAGGAAGGUGGGGAUGACGUCAAGUCAUCAUGGCCCUUACGAGUAGGGCUACACACGUGCUACAAUGGCAUAUACAAAGNGAAGCGACCUCGCGAGAGCAAGCGGACCUCAUAAAGUAUGUCCGUAAGUCCGGAUUGGAGUCUG